GCUUGGUUCAUUUCUGCUAAACGCGGUCCAUUUAAGAAAGAGCAAUCGAUAUAUCGCAAAGCACGCCACGCCACUGAUUUCACCCCUAGACAAACGGUGACACAUGGAAUGGAUGGAAGGAGGUAGGGGAGGGUUGAAUGCCCGGAAUUCCUACCUGGAAAUGAAGGAUCGGGUGCAUUCGGUUCGUAUCAAGUGCCAUUGCACCGAGUUGAGCAGGAACCGCGUAUCUACCCGCGGAUUCCGAGGCAGUUGCGAGGUUCUUACGCACGAGCUUGGAGUGAGUGAUUGUGGUGGCUGGAUCUUGGGAUUAUCUCCGACGGCCAACCAAACCGACCGGCGCACAGUGCGGCAGCCUCACGGACGAUGCGGAUAAAAAUCGGUAAAA